rnacentral:lncRNA from 1 species
CUCCUCUCCCAGAGCUGACGAGUGAGACAUUGUCUCAUGUAGUUCCUUCUGUGGACGUUUGGAGUCAAGAAGUCAAUCGUUCUGAUAACUACAGAUUGGAUUCCUAAAGGUGCAAGAAAAAAAAAAAGAACAAUUUUCAGGCGCAAAAGACUGCAUCCAGCACUUUACAGAUGGCAGAAGUGAAGUCGAUGUUCCGAGAAGUCCUUCCAAAACAAGGUAUGCCUCACAAGCGCUUGGGUCUCGGGCUGCUGGAGAGUUACAAGGGGUGGACAGUGUGGCCCAGCUAAUGCUGUUUCUGCAACUCUGCUGCUGUUUGCCAUGUCUAGU